UACGAAGGGGCUAGCGUUGCUCGGAAUCACUGGGCGUAAAGCGCACGUAGGCGGCUUUUAAGUCAGAGGUGAAAUCCCUGGAGCUCAACUCCAGAACUGCCUUUGAUACUGGAGAGCUGAGUCCGGGAGAGGUGAGUGGAACUGCGAGUGUAGAGGUGAAAUUCGUAGAUAUUCGCAAGAACACCAGUGGCGGAAGGCGGCUCACUGGCCCGGUACUGACGCUGAGG
rnacentral:rRNA from 1 species